UCUAAAAUGGCAGAUUAGUGCAUUGAAUUUAAACUUCAAAUAUAUUUAAUAAUUUUUAGAA
rnacentral:tRNA from 1 species